GUGCGCAGUUCCCGUGCCCUAGGAGUUGGCGGCGGGGCCCAGCCGAGGUAUAAGUUCCACAGCUUCACCCUUGUCGGUGUGAUAUGGGCGUGAAAGAAGACAUAAAACAGGCUUCCCGAGUAGAACCUGCCACCCCGGGCUGGUGGGGACGCGGCACCAGGCCGGGCCGGGGGAAGCCGCUCGGACAGUGGUCCUUGGAAUCUUCUUCCCUUCUGGUCUGACUAGGAAAGCCAGAGGGAGAUGGUGAAGGAGACACAGAGAGAGUAAAAGAACAGACCAUGCCCAGCCUCUCCACUGCAGGAGCUUGGAAUCAGUUCCUUUCUCAGGAACCUGACCAUCAGGCCUCCCAGAAAGUAUCGAGAAACUGAAACAUCUCAGAUCAUGGCAUCUGGACAAUGAGACACACCUGCUGCCUGUUGACCAACUCCCCUUGCUUACCCCUUCGUAACUCCCCACUAUGUAAACCCUUUAUUUUAGUUAGCUUAGACUUGUCUCCCAUCUCUCAGCUGACAUCAUCUGUAAUAAAGCCUUUGAUCCCUGGCAA
rnacentral:lncRNA from 10 species